rnacentral:rRNA from 1 species
UACGAAGGGUGCAAGCGUUACUCGGAAUUACUGGGCGUAAAGCGUGCGUAGGUGGUUCGUUAAGUCUGAUGUGAAAGCCCUGGGCUCAACCUGGGAAUUGCAUUAGAUACUGGCGGGCUAGAGUGCGGUAGAGGAUGACGGAAUUCCCGGUGUAGCAGUGAAAUGCGUAGAGAUCAGGAAGAACAUCUGUAGCGAAGGCGACCAUCUGGACCAGCACUGACACUGAGGCACGAAAGCGUGAGGAGCAAACAGG